UACGAAGGGGGCUAGCGUUGUUCGGAUUUACUGGGCGUAAAGCGCACGUAGGCGGAUCGUUAAGUCGGGGGUGAAAUCCUGGAGCUCAACUCCAGAACUGCCUUCGAUACUGGCGAUCUUGAGUCCGGAAGAGGUGAGUGGAACUCCUAGUGUAGAGGUGGAAUUCGUAGAUAUUAGGAAGAACACCAGUGGCGAAGGCGGCUCACUGGUCCGGUACUGACGCUGAGGUGCGAAAGCGUGGGGAGCAAACAGGAUUAGAAA
rnacentral:rRNA from 1 species